rnacentral:rRNA from 1 species
GAUGAACGCUAGCGGCAGGCCUAAUACAUGCAAGUCGAACGGGAUUAAGAGGCUUGCUUCUUAUGAGAGUGGCGCACGGGUGCGUAACACGUAUGCAGCCUACCUUCAACUGGGGGAUAGCCUUCCGAAAGGGAGAUUAAUACCGCAUAAUAUAAUUGAGUGGCAUCACUUGAUUAUCAAACGUCAGGGUUGAAGAUGGGCAUGCGUCCGAUUAGUUUGUUGGUGAGGUAACGGCUCACCAAGACUACGAUCGGUAGGUGAUCUGAGAGGAUGGCCCCCCACACUGGUACUGAGACACGGACCAGACUCCUACGGGAGGCAGCAGUAAGGAAUAUUGGUCAAUGGACGGAAGUCUGAACCAGCCAUGCCGCGUGCAGGAAGACGGUCCUCUGGAUUGUAAACUGCUUUUGUUAGGGAAGAAACUUCCGUACGUGUACGGGACUGACGGUACCUAAAGAAUAAGGAUCGGCUAACUCCGUGCCAGCCGCCGCGGUAAAAC